CGUAGGUGGCAAGCGUUGUCCGGAUUUAUUGGGUUUAAAGGGAGCGUAGGUGGACUGAUAAGUCAGUGGUGAAAUCUUCGAGCUUAACUCGGAAAUUGCCAUUGAUACUGUUGGUCUUGAGUACAGUUGCUGUGGGCGGAAUAUGACAUGUAGUGGUGAAAUACAUAGAGAUGUCAUAGAACACCGAUUGCGAAGGCAGCUCACAAAGCUGUAACUGACACUGAGGCUCGAAAGUGCGGGGAUCAAACAGGAUUAGAUACCCUGGUAGUCCGCACCGUAAACGAUGAUUACUCGCUGCUAGAUGGCAACAUUUAGUGGCUUAGCGAAAGCGAUAAGUAAUCCACCUGGGGAGUACGCCGGCAACGGUG
rnacentral:rRNA from 1 species